UCAUUAUCGAAAUAUCUGUCUAAAAUAGGUCUCCAUACUGUCAAUGACUCAAAACUGUUUAAUACUUUCAUACCACGAUGUAUUUCCCUGAGAGACUCUAUUCCUUCUUUCACCUUCCUUUGUCUCAAACCACUUUCUUUUGCCACAACACUUGUAUUUUCCCAAUCAACUCCACUUAAACAAUUCACAUUGUGUCGCGCUAAUCCCCCGUCUUCCUUUCCCAUUCGUUCAUUCGCCAUUGUCAAGUUCCCGUUUUU